UGUCUGGGUGUUUGUUUUUCAUCUCAUUAAAUCAGCAUGUUUUCUGAAGGACUUACAUUUUUCUUCAGGUUGUGUGUUUUGUUUCUGUAUGAUUGGUUUCCCUCAUUCUGUCUUCCAUUUUUUGAACAAAAGGCCUAACCGCAAACUCCAAAAAUGAUCUUUCUCUCUCCGUCUCGCUCUUCCUCCCUCAAGCUGUACUGGGAAGUUAAUUUGGUGAUGAUGGCAAUGGAGGUCCUGGGAGGCUAAUAGCUUUUCCAGAUGCAGACUGUAAACCAUACGAUGACGUGACGGGUCACUGGGAAUCUUCGGAGUAACAUACCACUGUUUUUGCAGUAUUGUAUACUGUGCAUGAAAUGAACA